rnacentral:lncRNA from 10 species
GGCUCUCAGACAGGUAGUGAGGAUUCAUUCGUGGGCCAAACAGGAAAGAUAUCUACCCUUAUGGGGCUUAAUUCUAGGAGAGAAGACAUAAAUAAAUGAGCAAUACAUAAGAUAAUCACAGAUUGUCCCGAGAAAGAAAAAGUGAUGUGAUAGAGAUAAUGGGGGACAGGUGUGGUGGCUCACACCUGUGAUUCCCAACACUUUGGGAGGUCAAGGUGGGCAACCACUUGAGCCCAGGAGUUGGAGACCAGCCUGGGCAACAUAGCGAGAUCCUGUCUCUACAAAAAAUAGAAAAACUAGCCAGGUGCGGUGGCUGCGCCUGUAGCCCCAGCUACUCAGGAGACUGAGGCAAGAUCACCUGAGUCUGGGGACGUUGAGGCUGCAGUGAGCCCAGAUCGUGCCACUGCACUCCAGCCUGGGCAUCAAAGUGAGACCUUCUCUCAAAAAAAGAAAACAAACAAACAAAAAACAAAAAAGGAACAAUGGGAAGGGAUGUGACAUUUAGAAACAGUGGUGAGCUCAGGUCCCUGAGGAAGUAACGUUUGAACAGAGACUUGAAGAAUAAAGACCAGAGACAGUCAUACUAAACCCGGGGAAAGGGCGUUCCAAGAGGAGGGAACAGUAAAUGCAAAGGCCCAGAACUAGAAAAGCUUUCUCUGUUCAACGAAGGCCAGCGUGGGUGGAGGAUAAGGAAGGAGCGGGCUGGAGGUGGAGAGUGAAGUAGAAAAGGUUUCCAGGAACCAGAUCCUAAAGGGGUCCUGCAGAAAUUAAUGGACGGCUUUUAUGUAGAGCAGCCUCAUGAUCUGAUUUGCAUAACUUUGGCUUCUGUGUGGAGAAUGCAUUAUCUGACAGCAAGAGGGAGUAUAAAGAGACCAAAUAAACUGCUGUUGCAGUCCAGGCAAGAGAGGAUGCUGUGUUUGACCAGAGCCUUGGGGUGAAGAUGGAAAAUAUUUUAGAAGGAAAAUGGACCGAACUUGCUGGCAAUUAGGAUGUCAGGGGUGAUGUGGCCUGUAAGUGGUGACAUUUAUGAGGAUGGGGAAGACUGCAGGGUUGGAGGAUGCAGUUUUGAGGGAAAACAUCGAAAGAUCUGUUUUGGGCAUAUGACAUUUGGGAUGCUAAUUGGACAUCCAAAGUGAAGAUCUUGACUCACGCCUGUAAUCCCAGCACUUUGGGAGGCCGAGGCAGGCAGAUCACUUGAGGUCAGGAGCUCAAGACCAGCCUGGCCAACAUGGCAAAAUCCUGUCUCUGCUAAAAAUUCAAAAAAAAUUAGCUGGGCGUGGUGGCUCACACCUGUAAUCCCAGCUACUCUGGAGGCUGAGGCAGGAGAAUCACUUGAACCCAGGAGGUGGAGGUUCCAG